rnacentral:rRNA from 1 species
GAUGAACGCUGGCGGCGUGCCUAAUACAUGCAAGUCGAGCGAACAGACGAGGAGCUUGCUCCUCUGACGUUAGCGGCGGACGGGUGAGUAACACGUGGAUAACCUACCUAUAAGACUGGGAUAACUUCGGGAAACCGGAGCUAAUACCGGAUAAUAUAUUGAACCGCAUGGUUCAAUAGUGAAAGACGGUUUUGCUGUCACUUAUAGAUGGAUCCGCGCCGCAUUAGCUAGUUGGUAAGGUAACGGGUUACCAAGGCAACGAUGCGUAGCCGACCUGAGAGGGUGAUCGGCCACACUGGAACGGAGACACGGUCCAGACUCCUACGGGAGGCAGCAGUAGGGAAUCGUCCGCAAUGGGCGAAAGCCUGACGGAGCAACGCCGCGUGAGUGAUGAAGGUCUUCGGAUCGUAAAACUCUGUUAUUAGGGAAGAACAAAUGUGUAAGUAACUAUGCACGUCUUGACGGUACCUAAUCAGAAAGCCACGGCUAACUACGUG